rnacentral:lncRNA from 1 species
UGUGUUAUUAAAUGAGGAUAAGAGAAUGUGUUACUAAAUUUCUAGAAGGGCACACUUCAUAUUUUGGUGGCAGCCCUCAACAAUUACUUCUGUGACAUUUUAAUUUGUACCAACUUUCAAAAACAUGAUGGAAAUAGCUCACAAUUUAUUUUCAAAAUACAUUAAUAAACAACUGUUUUGAGAAGCAUUUUAUCUUCUGUAUGUGUUUUCCAAAUUAUUUUUAUGCUAUGAAAUAAUUAGUUCUCAUAAAUGUCUGAUAGUUAAAAUAGCACUUAGCCAUAUAUUCAUUCAAAUAUCUCAAAACAUGAAUUUCAAAAUAAGUAUUUGAAAAUGAGUUUUAAAUAUAUAUUGAUUUUUCCACUCUUAAAUACACAAUAGGGGGAAAAAUGAAUAAGUAUCACUUAUUGAAUAAGUAAAAUGAAUAAGUAUACUGAAUAAGUAUCACUCACUGGGCUGUAAGAAUUAUAAAAUAGAGA